ACGCUGGCGGCGUGCUUAACACAUGCAAGUCGAACGAUGAAGCCCAGCUUGCUGGGUGGAAGAGUGGCGAACGGGUGAGUAACACGUGAGUAACCUGCCCUUCACUCUGGGAUAAGCGCUGGAAACGGUGUCUAAUACUGGAUACGACCCUUACAGGCAUCUGUUGGGGGUGGAAAGAUUUAUCGGUGAAGGAUGGGCUCGCGGCCUAUCAGGUAGUUGGUGAGGUAACGGCUCACCCAAGCCGACGACGGGUAGCCGGCCUGAGAGGGUGACCGGCCACACUGGGACUGAGACACGGCCCAGACUCCUACGGGAGGCAGCAGUGGGGAAUAUUGCACAAUGGGCGAAAGCCUGAUGCAGCAACGCCGCGUGAGGGAUGACGGCCUUCGGGUUGUAAACCUCUUUUAGUAGGGAAGAAGCGAAAGUGACGGUACCUGCAGAAAAAGCACCGGCUAACUACGUG
rnacentral:rRNA from 1 species